ACUGCCCUUUCAGGGCUCAAAUCGCCACAGCCACAUCUGAAAUAGCUUAAAGGCCUGCCAAUACUAUAUUAGGCAUCUUGGUGCUCGUGCUGUGACAGAAGACGGCUGGUGCGCACGUGUAUAAUUAAGGAACACAUUUUGUGUCCCGUGAUACCGGCCACUUUUC
rnacentral:lncRNA from 1 species